CCGCCUGCUGCCGGGCUGGAGGUGUGCGAGGGGAGCUGCUGAUGCGCCUCCAUCUUCGUAGGGCCGCUCUCGUGCAUCCCUGGCCUCUCGCCCCUCGCGGCUCGCUGAGCUCCCUGCCCGCGGGCACUUGGCGCCCACGUUGCCUCCUCUGAGGAUUUUUGGUGAUGCUUUCCUGCGCGUUUUGAGUUUCACCUCUUUUUCACGUUGUUCCCGCAUGAGGAGGUCGAAGCCCUUUGAGGUGAUGGCUGAGGAGGAAAGAAGGGCUGAGCGGGGCCUGGCAGCGCUGGGUGCUGCGGUGAGCCGGAGCAGCAGCACGAGUCCCGGCAGCAGGGCUGAUUUCAGGCAGCUCUCGGUGGUAUCGCCGUGCUCGGCUGCCCCAGGCUGUCAGUGUGAAGCAGAGCCGAGUGAAGUAAGUGAGGUUUCAAAUGGAGAAGCAGAUUGGAGGUGACUCUCGCAACCUGCCCAGCCCGGUUGCUGUGCAGGCUCAACUCCAGCUUUGCCAUCUUCCCUUCAUGCUGUUUAUUCCAAAAGCUCGCUCAUAGCACGCAGUUAUAGAAGUCAGAGUAAGACACAAGAAAAUUCUCCAUUCAUCACUGCCCAUCAGGUACUGUAUAUUUUAUUGCAUUAUACAAUUGCCAUCCAAUCCAUUCAUUGUGCUUUCCAACGUAUCCUUAACAAAUCCUGUCCUGCAAUUGUACACUGCUAAUUCCAAGGUUCUUAACUUAGGAAAAAAUGCAUAUGAGAAGGCAAUUAAAGGAAACUCAGCUGAU